GUCCACGCCGUAAACGAUGUGUGCUAGACGUCGGGCAGCUUGCUGUUCGGUGUCGCAGCUAACGCAUUAAGCACACCGCCUGGGGAGUACGGCCGCAAGGUUAAAACUCAAAGGAAUUGACGGGGGCCCGCACAAGCGGUGGAGCAUGUGGUUUAAUUCGAUGCAACGCGAAGAACCUUACCAGCCCUUGACAUCCCGGUCGCGGACACCAGAGAUGGAGUCCUUCAGUUCGGCUGGACCGGA
rnacentral:rRNA from 1 species